rnacentral:rRNA from 1 species
UACGAAGGGGGCUAGCGUUGCUCGGAAUCACUGGGCGUAAAGGGCGCGUAGGCGGCCAUUCAAGUCGGAGGUGAAAGCCCAGGGCUCAACCCUGGAAUUGCCAUCGAUACUGUUUGGCUCGAGACCGGAAGAGGUAAGUGGAACUGCGAGUGUAGAGGUGAAAUUCGUAGAUAUUCGCAAGAACACCAGUGGCGAAGGCGGCUCACUGGCCCGGUACUGACGCUGAGGUGCGAAAGCGUGGGGAGCAAACAGG